UUUGAUGGAGGGUUUGAUCCUGGCUCAGGACGAACGCUGGCGGCGUGCUUAACACAUGCAAGUCGAACGGUAAGGCUCCAGCUUGCUGGGGUACACGAGUGGCGAACGGGUGAGUAACACGUGGGUGACCUGCCCUGCACUUCGGGAUAAGCCUGGGAAACUGGGUCUAAUACCGGAUAGGACCGCACCGUGAGGGUGUGGUGGAAAGUUUUUUCGGUGUGGGAUGGGCCCGCGGCCUAUCAGCUUGUUGGUGGGGUAAUGGCCUACCAAGGCGGCGACGGGUAGCCGGCCUGAGAGGGUGGACGGCCACAUUGGGACUGAGACACGGCCCAGACUCCUACGGGAGGCAGCAGUGGGGAAUAUUGCACAAUGGGCGGAAGCCUGAUGCAGCGACGCCGCGUGGGGGAUGACGGCCUUCGGGUUGUAAACUCCUUUCACCAUCGACGAAGGGUUUCUGACGGUAGAUGGAGAAGAAGCACCGGCUAACUACGUGCCAGCAGCCGCGGUAAUACGUAGGGUGCGAGCGUUGUCCGGAAUUACUGGGCGUAAAGAGCUCGUAGGUGGUUUGUCGCGUCGUCUGUGAAAUUCCGGGGCUUAACUCCGGGCGUGCAGGCGAUACGGGCAUAACUUGAGUACUGUAGGGGAGACUGGAAUUCCUGGUGUAGCGGUGAAAUGCGCAGAUAUCAGGAGGAACACCGGUGGCGAAGGCGGGUCUCUGGGCAGUAACUGACGCUGAGGAGCGAAAGCAUGGGGAGCGAACAGGAUUAGAUACCCUGGUAGUCCAUGCCGUAAACGGUGGGCGCUAGGUGUGGGUUUCCUUCCACGGGAUCCGUGCCGUAGCUAACGCAUUAAGCGCCCCGCCUGGGGAGUACGGCCGCAAGGCUAAAACUCAAAGGAAUUGACGGGGGCCCGCACAAGCGGCGGAGCAUGUGGAUUAAUUCGAUGCAACGCGAAGAACCUUACCUGGGCUUGACAUAUACAGGAUCGCGCCAGAGAUGGUGUUUCCCUUGUGGCUUGUAUACAGGUGGUGCAUGGUUGUCGUCAGCUCGUGUCGUGAGAUGUUGGGUUAAGUCCCGCAACGAGCGCAACCCUUGUCUUAUGUUGCCAGCACGUUGUGGUGGGGACUCGUAAGAAACUGCCGGGGUUAACUCGGAGGAAGGUGGGGAUGACGUCAAAUCAUCAUGCCCCUUAUGUCCAGGGCUUCACACAUGCUACAAUGGUCGGUACAGUGGGUUGCCAGUCCGUGAGGGCGAGCUAAUCCCGCAAAGCCGGUCUCAGUUCGGAUCGGGGUCUGCAACUCGACCCCGUGAAGUCGGAGUCGCUAGUAAUCGCAGAUCAGCAACGCUGCGGUGAAUACGUUCCCGGGCCUUGUACACACCGCCCGUCACGUCAUGAAAGUCGGUAACACCCGAAGCCAGUGGCCUAA
rnacentral:rRNA from 1 species